UACGUAGGCAGCAAGCGUUGUUCGGAAUUACUGGGCGUAAAGAGUGUGUAGGCGGUGCUCUAAGUUUGGUGUGAAAAUCUCCCGGCUCACCGGGAGGCUGCAUCGAAUACUGGAAUGCUAGAGGGUGGGAGAGGUAAGCGGGAAUUCCUGGUGUAGCGGUGAAAUGCGUAGAUAUCUGGAGGAAUACCGGUGGCGAAGGCGGCAUCCUGGACCGACAUUGACGCUGAGUGAGCGAA
rnacentral:rRNA from 1 species